CGCUGGCGGCGUGCUUAACACAUGCAAGUCGAACGGUAAGGCCCUUCGGGGUACACGAGUGGCGAACGGGUGAGUAACACGUGGGUGAUCUGCCCUGCACUUCGGGAUAAGCCUGGGAAACUGGGUCUAAUACCGGAUAGGACCAUGGGACUUCACGGUUUGUGGUGGAAAGCUUUGCGGUGUGGGAUGGGCCCGCGGCCUAUCAGCUUGUUGGUGGGGUAAUGGCCUACCAAGGCGACGACGGGUAGCCGGCCUGAGAGGGUGUCCGGCCACACUGGGACUGAGAUACGGCCCAGACUCCUACGGGAGGCAGCAGUGGGGAAUAUUGCACAAUGGGCGCAAGCCUGAUGCAGCGACGCCGCGUGAGGGAUGACGGCCUUCGGGUUGUGAACCUCUUUCAAUAGGGACGAAGCGCAAGUGACGGUACCUAUAGAAGAAGCACCGGCCAACUACGUG
rnacentral:rRNA from 1 species